GGAGGUAUGGCUCAGGCAGCAGAGCACCUGCUUCAUAAGCAUGAAGUCCUAUGCUCAAAUCCCAAUACCUUCA
rnacentral:tRNA from 1 species